rnacentral:tRNA from 1 species
GGCGGGGCCGGUCGGGCCCGGGGAGCGCGCCGCCCGCCGGGCGGCGCGGCCUCGGACGCUACGAGGCCCUGCCGC